GUGAGUAACGCGUGAGAAUCUGGCUCCAGGUCGGGGAUAACAGUUGGAAACGACUGCUAAUACCGGAUGUGCCGAGAGGUGAAAGAUUUAUCGCCUGGAGAUGAGCUCGCGUCUGAUUAGCUAGUUGGCGGUGUAAGGGACCACCAAGGCGUCGAUCAGUAGCUGGUCUGAGAGGAUGAUCAGCCACACUGGGACUGAGACACGGCCCAGACUCCUACGGGAGGCAGCAGUGGGGAAUUUUCCGCAAUGGGCGAAAGCCUGACGGAGCAAUACCGCGUGAGGGAGGAAGGCUCUUGGGUCGUAAACCUCUUUUCUCAAGGAAGAAGAAAGUGACGGUACUUGAGGAAUAAGCAUCGGCUAACUCCGUGCCAGCAGCCGCGGUAAUACGGAGGAUGCAAGCGUUAUCCGGAAUGAUUGGGCGUAAAGGGUCUGCAGGUGGAACUGAAAGUCUGCUGUUAAAGAGUUUGGCUUAACCAAAUAAAAGCGGUGGAAACUACAGAACUAGAGUGCGGUAGGGGCAAAAGGAAUUCCUGGUGUAGCGGUGAAAUGCGUAGAUAUCAGGAAGAACACCGGUGGCGAAAGCGUUUUGCUAGACCGUAACUGACACUGAGGGACGAAAGCUAGGGGAGCGAAUGGGAUUAGAUACCCCAGUAGUCCUAGCCGUAAACGAUGGAUACUAGGCGUGGCUUGUAUCGACCCGAGCCGUGCCGGAGCUAACGCGUUAAGUAUCCCGCCUGGGGAGUACGCACGCAAGUGUGAAACUCAAAGGAAUUGACGGGGGCCCGCACAAGCGGUGGAGUAUGUGGUUUAAUUCGAUGCAACGCGAAGAACCUUACCAAGGCUUGACAUCCUGCGAAUCCUGGUGAAAGCUGGGAGUGCCUUAGGGAGCGCAGAGACAGGUGGUGCAUGGCUGUCGUCAGCUCGUGUCGUGAGAUGUUGGGUUAAGUCCCGCAACGAGCGCAACCCUCGUUUUUAGUUGCCAGCAUUAAGUUGGGCACUCUAGAGAGACUGCCGGUGACAAACCGGAGGAAGGUGAGGAUGACGUCAAGUCAGCAUGCCCCUUACGUCUUGGGCUACACACGUACUACAAUGCUACGGACAGAGGGCAGCGAGCCAGGGAUGGCAAGCGAAUCCAGAAACCGUAGCUCAGUUCAGAUCGAAGGCUGCAACUCGCCUUCGUGAAGGAGGAAUCGCUAGUAAUUGCAGGUCAGCAUACUGCAGUGAAUUCGUUCCCGGGCCUUGUACACACCGCCCGUCACACCA
rnacentral:rRNA from 1 species